CAGUGGUUCCUUAACAUUUGUCAGCAUCCUUUACAUCCCUGAAAACCCUUUCAUCAGUGGGGAGGAAUUUAUCUGCAAAGCCAAAUUCAAUUCAUCGGGCAUGUCCAUGAAUCUGAGCACCACAUUGUACGCAGGAGCUUCAGCAGGAGACGGAGAGGCAAGGCAGAGAAUCACCUGUAGCAGAUGGUUCCCUGUUGUGUUUAGAAACAUGAGGUCGGUCUGCAUCUGCCUUCUCUUUUUUGGAAGAUGCUUCAAAGAAGAAGAAAAAAGAAGAUGAAGGAAGUGGCUAGCCACACAUAGCUAUCUGUUAGGAUAUGUGCAGAGUAACCCUUGUGUAACAAGGAUAUGCACAUGGAAACGGAUAUGAGAACAGUUAUGAAUAAAUACACAACC
rnacentral:lncRNA from 1 species